GAAGGGCUGAGGGGAGGGCGAAGGCAAACCUUGUGAAAAAGAAAAGAAAAAAAUAAGAACAAAAAAUAUAAAAAGAAAAAGAAAGAAAAAUAAGAAAAAGAGAAAAAAUGAAAGAAAAAAAGAAAAAAAUGAAUGAAAAAGAGAAAAAAGAUAAAGAAAAAAAGAAAAUGAACACAAAGACAAAAAAGAAAAGAAAGAGAAAAAAUGAACAAAAAAGAGAAAAAAGAGAAAGAUAAAAAAAAAAAAAAAAAGAAAAGAAAAAACUAAUAGAUGAAAACAGAAAAAGCAUACAAAAAAAACCGAUAAUGACAGAGAAGAAGGUAAAGAAGAAAAGAAGAAAAAGCCAAGUGAAAAAGUAAAGAAUAACUCAAAGGAAGGAGUGGAUGGCAAGAAAUACAGAGAAAGCAUGCAUAGCAGAGCAAAGGAAAGCAAGGCAAAAUAGCAGCCAGAGCCACGAGAAUCAAGAAGUCAGUGAAGAGCAGGAAAGGAAUGGAGGACUCUGGCCAGAGCUGUGCCCCUGCUUGCCACAGGAGCUGCGCGGGAGGAGAAGAAUGUGGGCCAAAAGGUAAGAGGAGCUCCUUUGGGUUCUGGGCUUGAAGCAAAGCUGAGAAGCCAUGCCCGGGAGGAGGUGUGGGUAGCUACAGGCCAGCUUGCUAUCUCCCCAAGAGAUGAGGUGUGUGGGCUAGGCACCGGGCAGGAGUGCUGGCCAGAAGCAAGCAUCUCUGUGGAGGAAGGCAAAGGGCGGAGGAGGUUCAAGGGUAGCUACCGGGCAUGGCCUUGCUCAGCAAGGGGAGGAAAGCGUGAAGGGCACGAGAAGGGGACAGAGAAGGGCAGGCAGUAGGCGUGAAGCUGUGAGCAGAGUAGAGAGCAACUUGGCAGAGCAGCACGCAGAGUAGGCAAGUGUUGGGGUUUGGCGUGAGUAGCAGCAAAAGCCCAUAGCAUCAAGAAGCAGGAAGUGAGGAGAAGGUAAGUGAAGGGCAGGCAAGGUACUGGGAGGCAAAGGCAAGGGGAAAGGGGAGGGUAAGAGAAAAGAGGGGAUGGGGAGGGGAGGGGAUGGGUGAAGAGCAGAGCGGAGGGAAGGGCUGAGGGAGGGCUGAAGGCAAACCUGUGAUGAAAAAAGGAAAAGAAAAAAUAAGAACAAAAAAUAUGAAAAAAGAGAAAAAGAAAAGAAGAAUAAGAAAAGAGAAAAAUGAAAAGAAAAAAAGAAAAAAUGAAUGAAAAAGAAAAAAAGAGUAAAGAAAAAAAAGAUAAAAAAGAAAAGAGAAAAGAAAAAAAGAGAAAAUAGAAAUAAAAAAGAGAAAAGAGAAAAAUAUGAAAAAAAGAAAAAAGAAAAGAAAAAACUAAUAGAUGAAAACAAAAAAGCAUACAAAAAACGAUUAAUGACAAGAGAAGAAAGGUAAAGAGAAAAGAAGAAAAAAGCCAAGUGAAAAAGUAAAGAAUAACUCAAAGGAAGGAGUGGAUGGCAAGAAAUACAGAGAAAGCCAUGCAUAGCAGAGCAAAGGAAAGCAAGGCAAAAUAGCAGCCAAAGCCACGAGAAUCAAGAAGUCAGUGAAGAGCAGGAAAGGUAAGUUUCCCUUAAAGCAAGGGGGAAUGGUAGUGGAUGGGGGCAAAAGAGAGGGGAGGGGGAGGGGAAGUGAAGGAGAGGGGGGAGAGGGGGAGGAGCAGUGGGGCUAGAGGGGGGUGAGGGGGGCGAGAGGGGGGAGGGAGGAGGGGUGGAGAGGGGGCAGAGGUGAGGGGGGGUGAGUAAGUGGGGGUGUGGGUGGCUGGGGGGGAGAGGAGAGAGGGUAGGAAGGAAAAAAUUGGAGGUAGGGUGAGGGAAGGGGGAGGGUUGAAGGGAAACUAAUGAAACAGAGGACAAAGGAGAAUAACAAGUCAAAGCAAUUGCAUGUAAAUACAGAGCAAGCAAGUAGGAAAGCUAGGCAUAGCACAGCAAAAGAGAGCACAGCAACAGAAGGCAAAGAAUGACAAAAAGCAACCUUGCAGGAAUGGAGGACUCUGGCCAGAGCUGUGCCCCUGCUUGCCACAGGAGCUGCGCGGGAGGAGAAGAAUGUGGGCCAAAAGGUAAGAGGAGCUCCUUUGGGUUCUGGGCUUGAAGCAAAGCUGAGAAGCCAUGCCCGGGAGGAGGUGUGGGUAGCUAACAGGCCAGCUUGCUAUCUCCCCAAGAGAUGAGGUGUGUGGGCUAGGCACCGGGCAGGAGUGCUGGCCAGAAGCAAGCAUCUCUGUGGAGGAAGGCAAAGGGCGGAGGAGGUUCAAGGGUAGCUACCGGGCAUGGCCUUGCUCAGCAAGGGGAGGAAAAGCGUGAAGGGCACGAGAAGGGGACAGAGAAGGGCAGGCAGUAGGCGUGAAGCUGUGAGCAGAGUAGAGAGCAACUUGGCAGAGCAGCACGCAGAGUAGGCAAGUGUUGGGGUUUGGCGUGAGUAGCAGCAAAAGCCCAUAGCAUCAAGGAGCAGGAAGUGAGGAGAAGGUAAGUGAAGGGCAGGCAAGGUACUGGGAGGCAAAGGCAAGGGGAAAGGGGAGGGUAAGGGAGGAAAGAGGGGAUGGGGAGGGGAGGGGAUGGGUGAAGAGCAGAGCGGAGGGAAGGGCUGAGGGGAGGGCUGAAGGCAAACCUAUGAUGAAAAAAGAAAAGAAAAGAAAAAAUAAGAACAAAAAAUAUGAAAAAAGAGAAAAAAGAAAAGAAAAAUAAGAAAAAGAGAAAAAAUGAAAAGAAAAAAAGAAAAAAUGAAUGAAAAAGAGAAAAAAGAUAAAAGAAAAAAAGAAAUUGAACAAAAAAGACAAAAAGAGAAAAGAAAGAAAGAAAAUGAACAAAAAAGAGAAAAAAGAGAAAAGAUAAAAAAGAAAAAAAAAGAAAAGAAAAAAUAAUAGAUGAAAACAGAAAAAGCAUAAAAAAAAAAAAAACCGAAUAAUGACAAGAGAAGAAAGGUAAAGAGAAAGAAGAAAAAAGCCAAGUGAAAAAGUAAAGAAUAACUCAAAGGAAGGAGUGGAUGGCAAGAAAUACAGAGAAAGCAGUGCAUAGCAGAGCAAAGGAAAACAAG
rnacentral:lncRNA from 7 species